CAAAAAUUUAAAAAAAUGUGAAAUUAAAAAAAUAUAAAAAAUGUGAGAUUAAAAAAGUUUAAAAAAAAAAUUAAAAGAAAAUAUUAAAAAAAAUUGUUCCUGAUCAUGAAAUUUCCUGUCUUGUAGGACAAACAUAAAAGAUCCUGUUCUACAUGGUAACUUGAAAUGGAAAAACUUCGGGCUCUCGUAUGGUAUUAGGACAAAUAUAGUUGCCGGCAGCACUUAGGAGGAAUUGUAUUGUAACGACGAGUCAGCCCAAUCUACAGAAAGGAUUUCAGCAACAGA